rnacentral:lncRNA from 10 species
CCGGCUGUGUUCUUUGGCUGUUUGCUGUAAAUCUUGCUACUGCUCACUCUUGGGGUCGACACUUCCUUUAUGAGCUGUAACACUCACCGUGAAUGUCUGCAGCUUCACUCUUGAAGCCAUGGAGACCACGAACCCACCGGAAGGAAGGAACAACUCCAGACGCGCCGCCUUAAGAGCUGUAACACUCACCGCGAAAGUCUGCAGCUUCACUCCUGAGCCAAGGAGACCACGAACCCACCAGAGGAAAGAAACUCUGAACACAUCCGACCAUCAGAAGGAACAAAUUCCGGAGUGCUGCCUUUAAGAACUGUAACACUCAGCGCGAGCGUCCGCAGCUUCAUUCUUCAACAUAUUACGUCUCUGACUGAAUCUUCUACAAACAAGCAAUUAAGGUAAUCUUCAUCACAGGAGGUAGUUUGAAGAAGUCAAAGCCACAACGUAUUUCAAACAGCUGGGGAACAGCAGAAAUACUGGAGGAAAAAGCCAACAUCCUGUGAGCUGGUGUUAUUGUAGAAUUUAAAAAUAACUGUCGAGAUGGAACACAAUCAUUUAUGAGGCACCAAAUUAGAUUCUUGGGUCGCUACAGUUGUUCAGAGGACAGAACGGAGAUUUCUAGAUGUUACCUUGGCAAUGAAGUAAAGCAAUUGCUUGUGGACGUUGUUAGCUUGUGAAGGUGGUCAAGAUUCAAAUUCGCAGGUCAUCAUAG